UACGUAGGUGGCAAGCGUUGUCCGGAAUUACUGGGUGUAAAGGGAGCGCAGGCGGCACGGCAAGCCUGAUGUGAAAGCCCGCGGCCCAACCGCGGGACUGCAUUGGGAACUACCGGGCUGGAGUGCCGGAGAGGUAGGCGGAAUUCCUAGUGUAGCGGUGAAAUGCGUAGAUAUUAGGAGGAACACCAGUGGCGAAGGCGGCCUACUGGACGGUGACUGACGCUGAGGCUCGAAAGCGUGGGGAGCAAACAGG
rnacentral:rRNA from 1 species